UUCUGUUUUCUCCUUUCCACUAAGGGAAGAUGCAACAGGAAGGUCCUCACAAGAUGGCUGAACAGAUGCAGGUGCUGUGCCUCUGGACUGCCUAGCCUCCAGAACUGAUACAUAUGCAGGAUGUGCAGCUUUGUUACACAGAUACUUUUGGCUCGGUGAAUGGUGCUUAUCAGUUAACAGCAGAAACCCUCCUGAAAUGGAAAAUGGUUCAUUGUUUCCAUCAUGUACUCUAUGGAAUACAAAGCUCUGAAACCUGUUGGCUACUGGAAGUGUACAAGAAAAAGACUCUCAAGCUAGAGGUGGGGUAGAGCUGGAGCCAGCCAUGUCAAGAUCUUUCGAGGACAUGAACAUUUUUUAUGCUUAUUAAAAGAUGAUGUGGUUUUAAAAUAAAUCUAAGGCUGGGCGCAGUGGCUCAUGCCUGGAAUCCCA
rnacentral:lncRNA from 10 species